AUACGGAGGGGGUUAGCGUUGUUCGGAAUUACUGGGCGUAAAGCGCACGUAGGCGGAUUAGUAAGUUAGAGGUGAAAUCCCAGGGCUCAACCCUGGAACUGCCUUUAAUACUGCUAGUCUUGAGUUCGAGAGAGGUAAGUGGAAUUCCUAGUGUAGAGGUGAAAUUCGUAGAUAUUAGGAGGAACACCAGUGGCGAAGGCGGCUUACUGGCUCGAUACUGACGCUGAGGUGCGAAAGCGUGGGGAGCAAACAGGAUUAGAUACCCUAGUAGUCC
rnacentral:rRNA from 1 species